AAAAGAUCACCCGCGCUAUCUGCGUGGACCGUCACUGACGGGUUUCUGUGCUGGUGGACCUACACAGGCGCCGUUUUGUCUUGCGGACACGGGAGCACCAUUGUAACUUAUUUAACGUGCCGGGAUAACGCCACGCCUGCAGCGCGUUUAACUAGUCUAUCUGUACAAGUCGAUUCGGCAUGCUACGCAAAUUACGGAGCAAUUAUCGAAGAUGUUAUCUACACACCCACCCUCCGCCGGAUACCAACGGUGACCGAUGGCAACGCCACGAGUAUUCAAGAGAAACCGUGCAUAUGGUUGGCGUGGUGAACAGGAGUUUGCCUCUGUCGCCUCUAAUCGGACAUGUUCCUCCGCCGAACAUGUCCGAAUACCCUGCCUAGUCGUAUUGUGAUAAUGUCCUUGGUCCUCUUUUGCCAUUUCACCCCCACGUUGGUAAGUUGCUGGACCCGUCACACAACCCAAGUCUAGCUGCAUAGGUUACUGCAACCCGCCUUCCGGCACCCGUCCAAACAAUCCAAUGGAUAGGACCCCAUGGGAACCAUGUCGGCGUGAAUAUUAGCGUCACCGAGUUUGACGGUUUCCAUCGGAGAAAGAGGGCCAGAAGGAAAAGUCCGAGCCGGACCUACCCGUCAAUGACCUCCUGAUUGCCGGUAGACACCGUGACGCGCUAAACCAACUACCAAUUUGUCUUCCUGUCUGAAGCAGCCCAUCAACAUACCACGUACUCCGAACGGCACCGACUGUCUCUCCCUGAAAUGCCGGCUAGAAUCCAAACCGCCCCUACACUGGAGAGUGCGAACCGUACAAGUGGCUCGGCACUACGUGUCAUGGUGGCUAGAAAGUAUAACGCGACGGGUUAUUCCGCAAGCGCCCAAGGGUGUCCGCUUGUGUUCCGAUAAGCAUACGGAAGCUGCUCAACCGGUGCAUCCAAGCUAUCACGGGCCUUUACUUACAGGAAUUUGUGUCGUUUGACCCUCAUGAGUGCAACACUUUGUCGGACAGGGCCUUUUAAGCCAGCCAGUUUUCAGUGUAGGCGCUAAAGUGCUUACGAGCUAAGCGGGUGUGCAUUCGAAGUUCCGAGUCAGAUAGUUUCGGCUCGGUCCGCUUUUUACUGGCACUUUUUAGCUACGGGAUUUCCAUUCGGUAUGUUUUCGAGGCAGAAGUUUUCGCUGCCAUGUGUUUUCGGGCCUUUUGUCGAAUGCUUCUCAGCCGGAUGUUUUCCCGAAACGUUCCUGUUAGGUUACUGCUUUUGGUGGAAGCAAGCCCUUUUUGUAGAAGCAUGAUACUGAACGUGGUUUGCAGCACCCAGUUAUGCCGAUAUGUUCAUGAAGCCAGAUUCGUGCCAGAUUAGUGCCUUGGCGCUCGUGCCAGAUUGGAGCCUUUAGUCGGGCGUUUUCGAGUGCGGCUGGAAGUCGGAAAUUUUGUCGGAUAGGCUUUCUCAGUCUAAGCGGGCGGAAUUUAGUUGCUAUAAAAUAUGUACUAUCGUGACCCUGCCCUACGGCACUC